rnacentral:rRNA from 1 species
UACGAAGGGGGCUAGCGUUGUUCGGAAUUACUGGGCGUAAAGGGCGCGUAGGCGGCUGUGCAAGUUAGAUGUGAAAGCCCUGGGCUCAACCCAGGAUGUGCAUUUGAUACUGCGCGGCUAGAGUGUCGGAGAGGAUGGUGGAAUUCCCAGUGUAGAGGUGAAAUUCGUAGAUAUUGGGAAGAACACCGGUGGCGAAGGCGACCAUCUGGACGACAACUGACGCUGAGGCGCGAAAGCGUGGGGAGCAAACAGG